UACGGGGGGAGCAAGCGUUGUUCGGAUUUACUGGGCGUAAAGGGCGCGUAGGCGGCCAGCACAAGUCAGUUGUGAAAUCUCCGAGCUUAACUCGGAACGGUCAACUGAUACUGUGCGGCUAGAGUGCAGAAGGGGCAACUGGAAUUCUUGGUGUAGCGGUGAAAUGCGUAGAUAUCAGGAGGAACACCGGUGGCGAAGGCGGGUCUCUGGGCCGAUACUGACGCUGGAGGAGCGAAAGCCGUGGGGAGCGAACAGG
rnacentral:rRNA from 1 species